rnacentral:misc_RNA from 1 species
AAGGAAGAAGAAGUAAGGGUUUUAUAUACUGUUGAGUCUUAUGUUUCAAAGUUUCGUAAUGUGUAACCUCGCGAACAAGAUCGCUCGGUCGCGGCUGCGCCGCUUAUACAACAGAAUACAAAUGUGCUUAUGAAAGCAAGCUUUCAACACACAUUUCCAUUCCGUUGUGCACGCAUUACUAGUAAGACACGAAAUUUCUGGUGCCGAUGCGCUUAGGGGAGACACCCGUUCCCAUCCCGAACACGAUGGUUAAGACUUAAGCGGCCGAUGGUACUAUGCUGGAGACGGCAUGGGAGAGCAGGUGGGUGCCAGAUUAUUUUAUGGGGGUGUAGCUCAGUUGGGAGAGCACCUGCCUUGCAAGCAGGGGGUCAAGAGUUCGAAUCUCUCCAUCUCCAUUUGGUGUAAUUACGAAGGUGCACUUCGAAAAGCUGACGCUUUUCUCAGUCACGGCGUUCCACGCCUAUACAAUGAAAUACAAAACUGCUUAGGAAUGACCAAGGGUCAGACCCAGCAAGCUUUCCACAUAGUUUUCCAUUCCAUUGUGCACACUUUAAAUUGCAUCACGCAUGUACCUUGAAAACCACAUAUUGAAAUAUAUCUAGAUAGAGUUUUUAUAUGUCAAAGUAUAAAGACGAUAUCAAGACAUCCGAGGUGUUACAUCUAACGAUGUAACCAAACAAAACUCGUUAAAGUAACCGUAACGUACGGUGAAAUAACAAACCUAAGACCAGAGAUACAACGCUAUGUAUCUUAGAUCAGUAGCCCGCACCCGCAGGUGAACAUCGAAUUGGUUAAGCUAUAAAGAGCG